GGUGAAUCCUCUCCAUGCUGGAGGAUAUCACAGUCAGCUUCAUGGAACAGCUCUCAGGCUUGGUGGACACACGAUGACUAAAGUCACUCUUUGGAGGACAGCAUGGGGACUGCUCUCUGGUGAAAUGAGCAGCACCGGAAUUUGAGGAGCCCACGACAGUGAACUCCACCAGUCUCAGGUUUUAGAGGAGACUCAAACAACUGACUCAGUAUCAUAGGAGCUUUUUGAUGUU